UUUUUAAAUUGAGAGUUUGAUCCUGGCUCAGGAUGAACGCUGGUGGCGUGCCUAAUACAUGCAAGUCGUACGCUAGCCGCUGAAUUGAUCCUUCGGGUGAAGUGAGGCAAUGACUAGAGUGGCGAACUGGUGAGUAACACGUAAGAAACCUGCCCUUUAGUGGGGGAUAACAU
rnacentral:rRNA from 1 species